AGUGAACGCUGGCGGUAGGCCUAACACAUGCAAGUCGAACGGCAGCACAGUAAGAGCUUGCUCUUACGGGUGGCGAGUGGCGGACGGGUGAGGAAUACAUCGGAAUCUACUUUUUCGUGGGGGAUAACGUAGGGAAACUUACGCUAAUACCGCAUACGACCUACGGGUGAAAGCAGGGGAUCUUCGGACCUUGCGCGAUUGAAUGAGCCGAUGUCGGAUUGGCUAGUUGGCGGGGUAAAGGCCCACCAAGGCGAGGAUCCGUAGCUGGUCUGAGAGGAUGAUCAGCCACACUGGAACGGAGACACGGUCCAGACUCCUACGGGAGGCAGCAGUGGGGAAUAUUGGACAAUGGGCGCAAGCCUGAUCCAGCCAUACCGCGUGGGUGAAGAAGGCCUUCGGGUUGUAAAGCCCUUUUGUUGGGAAAGAAAAGCAGCAGGUUAAUACCCCGCUGUUCUGACGGUACCCAAAGAAUAAGCACCGGCUAACUUCGUG
rnacentral:rRNA from 1 species